rnacentral:rRNA from 1 species
ACGGGAGGCAGCAGUCGGGAAUAUUGCGCAAUGGAGGAAACUCUGACGCAGUGACGCCGCGUAUAGGAAGAAGGUUUUCGGAUUGUAAACUAUUGUCGUUAGGGAAGAAAAAAAUGACAGUACCUAAGGAGGAAGCUCCGGCUAACUAUGUGCCAGCAGCCGCGGUAAUACAUAGGGAGCGAGCGUUAUCCGGAUUUAUUGGGUGUAAAGGGUGCGUAGACGGGAAUUUAAGUUAGUUGUGAAAUCCCUCGGCUCAACUGAGGAACUGCAACUAAAACUGAAUUUCUUGAGUAUCGGAGGGGAAAGUGGAAUUCCUAGUGUAGCGGUGAAAUGCGUAGAUAUUAGGAGGAACACCAGUGGCGAAGGCGACUUUCUGGACGAUAACUGACGUUGAGGCACGAAAGUGUGGGGAGCAAACAGGAUUAGAUACCCUGGUA